rnacentral:lncRNA from 1 species
AAAUAGUCGUGUAAGUAAACAUUAUGACUUAGUUGAGUGUAAUAAUAUUAUUUAUAAACUAAUAAGGCAAUUUAAAGUUUUUUUUUAUGUAUUCCAAUGCAAAAUCAUGGACAUAAAAACAAACUGCAUAUAUAUAUAUGAUUAAUCAUAGUACACUAGUUUAGUUUAAACAUAUUUUAUUGUCCAAAAACAUUGACAAUAGGAUUAGACACAAGUUUGGCAACUUAGAACGUCUUCUCCAUUUCAUACAAAUAAUAAAUAACCGAACAAAAUGAAAUACAUAAUAAUAACAUCAUAAACAAUAUUAAUAUGAAGACAUGAAAUUAACAAGAAUUUAAACGACAUGGCUCAUCGAUUCCUAAAAGUCGAGUUGACCGUAAUUUUUUUAUGAUAGACCUACCUAAUAGGUUGUUUUAAUCUUGGAAUAAAAAUUCACCCAAAAGAUAAGUUAUCUUUGUAUUUUAAACAAUUAAAUUAAAUUGUUGUUGUCAACUGAUAGGAUUUUAUAAUAAAAUCAAAUUGAUGAUCCAUGUCUUAGGAAAAAAUGAACAAUUUCAUUCGAAGUCAACAAAAAGUAAUUACAUUAUUAUUGGUAUAUAUUUAACCAUAAUGUCUAUAAACUAUGAAAAACGAUUGGUCUCUUUAAUAUAAUUCUGCACUUUUAUAAAACUUAGCGUGUUUAUGUUCAUAUUAAACAAAGCAUUGCCGUACAUUAAAUUUUCAAAGUCGGUAGGUAUAUUUUCUUUUCUAAGUUCAAAAAAUAAGUUAUUCCUUUGCACUGUAUAAUUUUUACACGAGAGGAAAUAAUGUUAAGCAUUUUCGUAUAAAUUACCACAUUGACACAUUGCGUUAGGUUUAAUAUUUGCGUGAUACAGAUCCAUGUUAAAGGCACUGCAUUUGUUUCUUAAUCUUGCGUGUAAAACAUUUAAAUAUCUAUCGCCAAUAUUGAAAUAUGCAGGUGGUGAUUUGUUUUUAUAAUAUUUCUGUUUAAUUUUUAAUAAGUAUUCUGGGGCGUCCUCUUUCAUAAUUUUGUAAAAUAAAGUUAAUUUCUUAACUUGCCGUCUUAUCUUUAAUUUUUCCCAUCCCGUCUCUAAAUAAAGUGAUUGAAUGCUAGCAUAGCUUGUUAAACCAGUGACAAUACGUGCUGCUUCCAGUUGUAAUUUUUCUAAACUUUCAGAAUUCAACUGUCCGCAAUUAUCCAAAACUUCAUGAUAUUAGUUUUAUUUGGAUUGAAUUUAACUAUUAUUACCUUAGCUGUAUUUGGCAAAACUUUUAGGAAUUUUUGGUCCUCGAUGUUCUUCAACUUCGUACUCUAUUUGGCCUUUUUAACAUUUUUUUAUUCGAGCGUCACUGAUGAGUCUUUUGUAGACGAAACGUGCGUCUGGCGUAAAUAUAAAAUGUUAAUCCUGAUUUCUAUGAGGUGUUUAUUUGCAUGUAAGGAUGUUUAUGUAUUGUAGGCAAACCAAGAUAAAAUAAUUUAAAAAAUGUUAUAAACGAAAUUGCAAACAUUUAAAACGAAGAGGACAGAAUAAUAAAAAUAACUAUUUUAAAAGUGCGAAUGUAUUAUUAUUUGAUACUAGCAAUAUACUAGUACGCCGAAUGUCGAAACAAGAGAAAACUCAGCAAGCAGCACUUUGGCUAAUUCCGCAAUCCCAGUAGAGCAAUCUUAAGUUUCUUUUACAUUUGAAGCACUGCUUUCCAAAAUAUACAUACAUUUCAUUAAUUUGCGAUUAAAUUUCAGCAUUUGCUGCUUCUGAAUCUACUGCAUUAUGGAUUACAUUGUUUUCAAAAGCGUACACCAAGACAUUGUGAUUGGUUAAAAACGUCAUCAACAUGAGAAAUCAACCAACAACAUGACGUUAUUUUCAUUAUGAGUAACGAACAAAACAAUAACAAAAAGUCCUUUAAAUUUUCAAACUAAAAUCUAUUAUGACGUCAUGGUCAUUUACUCUAAAAGUCCGAUUAAACAUGUCUAGGUUUAUGAUUUAUAUGCAGACGGUAUAUGUAUACUAGGAAGAUGAAAUAUAACAGACAUCAGUCAAAUUGUUAAAAUGCAAAAAUUACAAAUAGUUAUAUUUUAUUAAGGAAAAAAAUAAUAAGUUUAUGAACAUUCAUUGAUAUUUUAAACACAGUCUAUAUACAUGUAAUAUGAAAGUUUGGUCUGCUCAAGUCUUUCUUUGCAGAUUUGAUUUCAAAAUGAGUUUAUCUAAAUACAACAAUAUAUUCAUCCUUAAUAUAAAAAUGAAGAGACAAAGAAAGAUAACCAAUAGAACAGCUGCUUAGAAGAGACAAAUGCAGUGCACAACACAAUUAAAGGCCACCUUGCGGCCUUCAACAUUGAGCAAGAUAAUACCGUGAAGUCAGCUAGAAAGAAUCCAGUCAUGAUAAAAUAAAUAUUUAAACACAUAUUCUAGCACAUGUGUUUGUCUCGUUUGCUUUGAAUGUAUGACAAAAUAUAUGUUAAAAAAAAUGUCAUUAUUAUUUUUGCCUUUAACCAGGUAACAGACAAAACAACUGUUUUAACAUUACCCCAAGAUGUCCAUUUAUACUGUCUACUUGCUUGGUAUUAUUUUUGUCGUAGCAGCGAUGAGUGUUCCUCUUUCACGCAUCGAAAAAGGUUAGUAAAUGAACUCAUCGUAGAUACAAGGAUUGCAUUGUUGAAGUGUUGAAAGCCGGAUGAGCCUUUUGUCUACAAAAGUCUGGCAAAUGACGCUCGGAUCAAUAUAUACCAUCAUUAAAAAUUUUGUAGUAUGUAAAGAUAUUUUAAAUGAUACCUCUCCGUUUAAUUUACUACUCUUUUGUGUAUUAUGUGACCGCUUCAUAUUACAUUCGAAGGAUAAUCUCAAAAAUAAAAAAUCAAUGGCGUGCUUAUUAUGUCAGAUCUAGAAACUUAUAGACUUCAGGAGUGCCCGAGCGUUCGAUUACCAUCGAAAACUGAAAUGUCAAAUUUUAAACAAAUACAAGAUCAAUACCACCUUCACAGAAGACGACUAGAGUAACACAAUAAAAAGCUAUAGAAUGGCAAAAAUGUUUAGACUCACCCAUUAAAAAAAAAUAUUGUUAUUAUGACAUAUCGUAAAUCAAGAAGGCCGUACGGUGACCUAUAGUUGUUAAUGUCUGUGUCAUUUUGAUCUUUUGUGGAUAGUUGUUUCAUUGGCAAUCAUACCACAUCUCCCUUUUUUUUUUAGUAUCAGUUGUAUAGAUACUUAUAAGGUUACAUGAACCUGACACAUAAAUUGGCGCUAUUUUAGAUAGUAUUUGGUGUCCAAUGUGCAUUUGAGUAAGGUUGACAUAUAAUAACUAUUGCUUCAUUACUAUACUAUAUAUAAAAAUAUUAAUUUUCGCGAACCAUUUAGGUCACGGAAAUUCCAAAAUAUGGCAUCAGUAAGGAGAGUUGUACAAACAAUGUAAAUACACAGAACCCCAUCCAAACUUGCUUUAGCUAAUAGUAUUCAUCUUUUUCUAUUUUAUAUGUACUAACAACAUUCCAUUUUUCUAUAAUCUCGAUUAAAAAAUUUCAAAAUCUGAGUUAAAAUAGGUCGAAUGCCCCAAAUAAACGUUGUCUGAUUGGUUUUAUUAAUAAAAAACAACCCAAACACAUAUCAUGGCAUAAUAUAACUAAGGAGUUAUGAUAACGAUACAACUUCAUUUUUGUUGCUGUUGCAAAAUUAAACAAAAGAUCAUAAAAAUGAAGGAGUGUGCAUCUUUGACCAGGAUUUUCAGAGUUUAAAAAUUGUUAAACCAGAGAGCCUUGAUUUAAAUAUUUCCGUGCUAAUCUCCCUUUUAUUGCCAUGAUAAUUAUAUAAAAAAAAAUAACUUAAACACACAGGUGUCGUUUUUCCUCCGUUAACAACACACCGGUAUAUUAUUUUGUGUAGGGACUUACGCAUAAUAGUAUCUUAAUUUUGUGAAAGCUUAACAGAUACCUUAGACCAUGCAGGACCGAUUUCAUUAUCUCAUUGAGUUUUUUUACCACUACUCUGUCAAGGUAUUUUUUUUUCUAUACGGAAAUAUAAGGAUGGAUACCCUCUACAUAUCCUCAAUAACACAGAUGCAUGUUUGAUUAAAGCGACAUUAUAUUUCUAAAAUCAAGCGUCUGGAUGGCCGAGACCAUCAUCUGCAUUGACACGAACUUAACAUGUUCCUUACGUCAACGUAUGUUUCACUUAGUGUGUCAGUUUGAUUUAGAAGCGCGAGAAUGACGUCAAAGAAGUGAAGACCGUUAUGUAUUAAAAAUUAUUAAAUUUUGUAGAAAAGUUUAAAAGAGAACAGUCACAGAAUUCUCCUUCUAUUAUAAGAGAUUACGAUAACACGUUUGUAGCUAGAAGAUCCGAAGCAGACAAUGGCUUAGUUGCAAAGGAUGAUGUGUCAGAAGUGUUCCUGAGAACUGCCGACGAGCACCCUAAAUUCAAAGUCACUAUAAAACCGGACGGAACAAUUAUCAUUGAGCCAGCAUAGACAGUUUGGAAAAGUUUAUCAGAUCAUAAACAUGAUAAACUUAUUUCAUUGACGUAUACUUACAAUUAAUUGUCUUUUUCGUUAAUAAUUUACUAUUUCUGACUUUAUAUCUUCUUUUUAAAAUCAUUACUAUUAAGUUGAGAAAUAUUAAAAAAGAACUUGUACUAGCAGUUCUAAUAGUAACCAUCAUAAUAAUAUACUUUCAGUUCAUUAAACAAACAAUUAACAUACGCAUAUAUAAUUAUCAUUGAGCCAUAUUAGGCAAUAUUAUUAUGAAGCCCAGGUGGUCGUGUGGUCUAGCGGGACGGCUACAGAGUAGGCGAUUUGGUGUCACGAUAUCUCAGUAGCAUGGGUUCGAAUCCCGGCGAGGGAAGAACAAAUAAAUUUGCGAAAG